rnacentral:rRNA from 1 species
AUUGAACGCUGGCGGCAGGCCUAACACAUGCAAGUCGAGCGGAUGAUGAAAGCUUGCUUUCUGAUUCAGCGGCGGACGGGUGAGUAAUGCCUAGGAAUCUGCCUGUUAGUGGGGGAUAACUCGGGGAAACUCGGGCUAAUACCGCAUACGUCCUACGGGAGAAAGUGGGGGAUCUUCGGACCUCACGCUAACAGAUGAGCCUAGGUCGGAUUAGCUAGUAGGUGAGGUAAUGGCUCACCUAGGCUACGAUCCGUAACUGGUCUGAGAGGAUGAUCAGUCACACUGGAACUGAGACACGGUCCAGACUCCUACGGGAGGCAGCAGUGGGGAAUAUUGGACAAUGGGCGAAAGCCUGAGCCAGCCAUGCCGCGUGUGUGAAGAAGGUCUUCGGAUUGUAAAGCACUUUAAGUUGGGAGGAAGGGUUGUAGAUUAAUACUCUGCAAUUUUGACGUUACCGACAGAAUAAGCACCGGCUAACUCUGUGCCAGCCGCCGCCGAACAC